AUUUCAAUUAUGAAAUAAUCUCAACCGAGGAAAUCAAUAUUACUGCUCAUAAAUAGUUCAAAUUAGCACUAUCAGGAGCCUACUCAAACACCAUUUGUGAAUAUCUCUCUAUUUAAAUCUCAAGUUCUGAACACUACACUAUUCCAAAUAAAUAUGCACAUUCUUUUGUAUACAUCCAGUGCAUCUCCAUCAAUAAAGAUCUUAACGAAAACUUACCACUUUCCAAGAUGAUGUUACCUUCCUCAUAAUAACAUAUGUUGCAUGAUUCAAAUGAUUAUUUGAAACUCAGCAUAGAAAAAAAAUCUUAACAAAUAAAAAUAUCAUCAUUUUUAAGAAAAGUGAAGAUGCCAAUAUAAACCUGGCCAAUUGGGAAAUAUAAAAUUUACACUUGACUAACGUCCGCGCAUAAGAGAAAGCCUUUCUAGGUCAAAGCUACAACAUCAAGGAUCUGCAUAGAAAAAAAAUCUUAACAAAUAAAAAUAUCAUCAUUUUUAAGAAAAGUGAAGAUGCCAAUAUAAACCUGGCCAAUUGGGAAAUGUAAAAUUUACACUUGACUAACGUCCGCGCAUAAGAGAAAGCCUUUCUAGAUCAAAGCUACAACAUCAAGGAUCUCUCUGUCCUUGCGCCUAAAUUUCAGGCUUCAAAUCUUGUCUUCUGAACCUGAAAACAACCAAGUUUAUGCAGGAUAUUUGUGAAAUCGGUACAACUACAAUUGCUAUA
rnacentral:lncRNA from 1 species